rnacentral:piRNA from 1 species
UAGUUGACUGCAAAAUCAGUAAGCUUA